rnacentral:lncRNA from 1 species
UUAUCCUUGGCUCACAGUCCAUUCAAAUGUUCGUAAGGCCACACAUUGGCCAGUCAAAUUGGGUUCAUACAUGUUAACCUUUACACAAGUUCAAAUGGCACAUCGUGCCUACAUAAAUCAAAGCCAACCAUAUGUGGAAGCUCAUGACGGACUCAGUGGAGUGACCAAAAUAGAGGACCUACCGGAUAGCAAAACUGGUCUAUCUAUUAACAACCUUUGCCACACAACUCCAUAGUUUAUUUAUCUGCACAUGGUACACAAAUACACAUUGGGCGAGUACUAUAAUACUCAAUGAGUGGUGUAAACACUCAAAAUCAUACAUAUAUAUGUACAAACACAUAUAUAAAAUAUAUAUGCACUAUCUGUGCAUCUGGGUGUUCUAUCAAACAUCUCUAAGCAUAGGGCAUAUCAUUAUCCCUAAAGUCUCCAAUGUGAGGGCAUAUCAAUAUCUUCAAUGUCUCCAAAGUUCAUCACACAUAUCAUUAGGCUUACCCCCGAAGUCGAUCAAAAUUAUUCAAAUCAUUCUCCAUGGCACACUCUAGUAACCGAAGUAUCACAUCAAAAUCAUAUCAUAUUUAUCUAAGCCUCUCCAUGGCUACCUCACAUCAUAUGCAAGUCAAAUCAAUGAGUGGUCCUCCCCUAGACACAAUCAAAUCACGUUCGGUGGCCAAUCAGAUGGAAAAUCAGAUUACCCUCAGGGCAAAGCCGCUGGCAAAGAAACAGAUCACACACGUGCCGAAGCAACUGGCAAAGAACAAAUCACGCACAGCUUCGGAGUAAUUGGCAGAGAAUCAUAAUUAUUGGCAUCACCCGAAGUACUAAGCAACGGACGGAUAACAAAUCACGCACAGCUCCGAAGCAAUUGACGAAGAAUCAAAAUUAUUGGCAUCACCUGGAGUACUCUCAAACGGGUGGCAUUAAAGCACUGCAAGCGAGAAUCAUAAGCAAGAUUAAUGCCACCAUCCCUACUUACCACAACCCCUGUAGGCACACAUAUAAUCACAAGGGGAAAGGAACUCCACUCAUCCAUAAAUUAGAUCAACAUCCAAAAUUCAUCCCUCGAACAAGACACGAAUCCACAAAUAAGGCCAUCAUGCCUUUAUCAUUGACAUUAUUUAUCAUUGAACCUCAAUUCAUAUUUAUCAAGACUUUAAGCUCGUUAAAGUUCUAAGUGCCUCUAAGUCUCCAAGGCAUCAUUCAAUUAAUUCAUCUCAAUAUAUGAUUCACCUAAGGUAAUCUAUUCCUUAGGGUUCAUCAUAACAUCUAAACGUCUUACUCUAGGCACACAUAGCAUACGCCACCCAUGUGGCUCACAUCACAACACACAAUCACACACCAUUCACAUGUAUACAUAUACACAUUUAUUGUUCUCUAACCUAGGUUCAUUCGUCUAGGCAUACAUAUUUCAUUCUAAUACCAUGGCAGCACAUUUAUCGUGCAUUAUGCAUUACAUGUAUUUUAUUUAAACCCACUCACAGUGAUAAAUUGGAGGUAGUCCCAAUUGAGCUUCGAUCUUUAGCCUCCAAUCGUCGUCUAGCUUGCCAACGAGCUGAUUAACUCUAUUUCUCCCUUAGAACACAUCAAACAUCCAUUUAUUAGUUAAUUCUUGGCUUUCAAAAAAUGCCAACUUUUGUACAAUUUACCAAUUCUUAGCAAUCCAACUAUUUAAGCUCAAAUCCUUCAUUAACGAGCUAAACCCAUACCUUAGAAGUUGGAUUGUACGAGUCUUAGCUCUAAAUUCUCUAAUCCAAGCCGAAGAGGAAAAAUUACCAAAUUUGGAGAAAAUUGGAUUUUAAAGUUAUUAACCGAUUAAAUUGAAAAAUAAUCGGUAAAAAUGUUAAAUCUUACCUUCAGGAUGGUUUCUCAAGCUUCAAAUGGCUCAAAAAUACAAUUUGGGGGCUAGGGUUUUGGGUUUCUAGAGAGAGUGAGGGUGAAAGAAAUGAGUGAAAGAAAUAGGGUGAAAUAGCCUAAACCCCUUUUUAUUUUUACCUUUUCUCUAUGAUGUAUCGAUACAUUUGGCAAUGUAUCGAUACAUCUACCCAAAUUUCAAAUGAAUGUAUUGAUACAUUGAGGAAAUGUAUCGAUACAUUUCAAGCAAAAUGGCCUUGGGUGCUUUUUGCUUCAAAUGUAUCAGUACAUUAAGAUAAGGUAUUGAUACAUGUUCAUCUUUUGCCAAAUCUAUUGAUACAUUUUUAAAUGUACCGAUAGAAUUCCUCCAGAACACCUCAUAUUGUUCUUCCUGCCAAGAAUGUAUUGAUACAUGAGAGUAUGUAUCGAUACAUCUUCCCUUAUAGGCAGCUUUAAGCUUCUAAAACUUUCAAAAAUUCAAGUUUAACACCCCAAAAUCAUUCCUUGUGAAUGUCACACCUCAAAUCAUUUGUUUAACUUAAUCCCAUACACAUAAAUUCAUAACCAUAACAUCAAACUUAGAUCAAAACCUCAAACUAUGGGAUUUAUCACAUAUUUCCUCAAAAUUUGCCUAAGUGCACAUUUAUCUAUGUAUAUAUCCUUAAACACUUAGCAUACACAACAUAUUAUCAAUUUACUUAAUUUACAUUGAAAAUUAGGGGUGUUACAAUACACAUCUCAUGGCAUUUCCUCAUGCCAACUCUUUCAUCAUAUUGUAUGUAAAACAUGCAUUACAUACAUAAUCUCAUAGCAUUUAUCAUGCUUCCUCAAACAUUUCAUGUAGUGUAUGGAGAACACAUCAUAUACAUAAAUAUAAUAUCUUAAAUGACAAUCAUCAUACAAGCCAUCACACAUUUCAUGCCUCAACAUAUCUAGCAUACACCUCAUACAUUCAUGCAUUAAUCAUAAAUCAUAUCUCGUACCGACACUAGUUCGAAGACUAAAGUAAUUAAAUGGACUCAAACAUAAUGUGCUUGUCCCCUUUUGUUGAAAACUAAUACAUAAUAUCAUAUUUACAUACAUAGUAGGUUGAAAACACGUUUUAUAAUAUUUUCCUCAUCCACAAAUAAAUUUUUAGUUCAUAAAUAUUUGCAAAAAAUCAUAUUCAUCAUUAAACCUCAAAUCAUGCUUCAACUUUACAUAUCAAAAUAAUUUUGAAAGCGGUGUAUUCACUCAUUUUAUAGGAAGCUCGAUUACAACUCCAAUUUUGUGUAAUUUGGUGUGUUUUCAAGCAUUCCUAUCACACAAUAUUUAUAACAAUCAAUUUCUAAACAAAUAAUCUCAAAAUAAUUAAUCUAGCAACUUUCGAAAUCUAUUUGCUUUUGACUAUAGCCACUUUCUCUCUCUAGACUAAGCUAGAAAUGCAUAAAUCUCCUAAACUUACCUUAAAUGAGCUUAGAUGUUGAAGGAAAUCACAAAAACUGUAACUUUAAUGCUCAACAAAAAUUUUUUGGAAAAAUAAUAAAUUUUCAGCAUUAAAAUGUGAACUUUAAAGGUUUUAUAGCAUAAAACCUUCAAAACAAAGAUCAAAAUCAUUAAAAGCAAUUAUUUUUCAUUAAAAAUGGAUAGAUAGAGUUUUAGAGAGGUUUUACCUUUCAAAAAAACUGUUGAAGGUUGAGAAACCUUCGAAUAUUUAGUCAUAUUUAUAGUUUAAGAAGUGAAAAUAUGCUCUUAGCCUUUUUAUUUUUAUGAAAACAACAUCAUCUAUCGUUAGAUCAAAGUUAUCUAUUGAUAGAUGAGCUUUAGAACCCUUUCUGGAAGUUUUUUGGUAGCCAUCUAUCAAUAGAUUUGACCAUCUAUGGAUGGAUUUGCUCAUCUAUCCAUAGAUAUUCUUUAGGACAGCUUUGAUAAACCCUUUCUGGAUUGUAUCUAUUGAUAAAUGAAGAGCAUCUAUCGAUAGAUUGAGUCCAGAAAGCAAAAACAAACUUUAAAAACAUGUCUAGUUGAACUCCUUUUAACACCAAACUUUGUAAAUCAUCUUAAUGCAACAAAACAUGAAUUUUUCUUAGAUCAAAACUUACUCUUUAACUUUCCAAACAUAAAAAUCAUCUUAAAACAUUACACCAUAAAAUUUUCCAUUCACAACUAAUUUUCAUGUUUUCAAAACACAAUUUAACUUGCUCAUCUAAGGAUUUCUAACUUAGCAAAUCCUACGUUAGGGUGGGGUUUCACUACUGUUGUAUUGGUUAUACCUUUACUCAAAAGGUAAAAAGGUUUUGCCUAAUCCUUUAAAAGGCUAUAUCUUGUAUAAAGGUUGUGCUUGAACUUGAAAAGGUAACGUCCUGGUAAAAGUUAUGCCUGAUCCUAUGAAAAGGCAUGUUGUGAAGGUUACACCUAAUCUUGUUAAAUGGCAUGUUAUAAAGGUUACACCUGAUCCUGUGGAAAAGGCAAGUUGAUAAUAGAUUCGAACUCUUUGUGCUAUCAAGGGAAAGGACGUAAGCAUUGGUAGGCCGAACCUUUAUAAAAAUCCAACUGAAUACUCUUUAUCUUUUUUCACUUUGCUUAUUUAGUUGAUACUCUAUUUUGUUGCUUUAUUUCUCACAUCUCCAUUGCAUUUUCAAAGUUCUUUAAAAAGGGGAAACUUUUAAUUUAUAACUAAUUCACCCCUUUUAGUUGUUUUACUUGAAGCUUAUCUUACUAACAAUGUUUACAAUGACACAUUCUUACAUGUAAUUAGCACCAUCACAUCUUCAUUUCAAAGAAAGAAAAAAGAUAAGUGCAAGUUGGAAUCAAAACUUGAUAAAAUUGUGUUCCAAAAUUGCUCUUAAGCAUUAAAUUGAAACCCUUUUUCUCAACAAAAAAAAACAUGGUUUAAAUUUCUCAUUUAUGUAAAAACACCUUUUUUUCUUCCCAGAAUGGAAAUGAGUGCAAUAAGAAAUGUUCUAUCCAUUUAUACUCAAGUGACAAACCAUGCAAAGCUGAACAUAGCUAGAUAUGGAAACAUUGUCUAGGACAAGUAACUUUAUUUUUUCACAAAUUAAGAAGCACAUUCGCAAAAUCAAUUAUCAUUUUAAGAAAAAACAAUGAGUAAAUGAAAGUCAAUGUCCAAAAUGUAAAGCAAUUUAAAGUCCAAAGGUAAGUACUAAACAACAGAAGAAAUGAAGAAAGAAUAACUACCACCACUAAUAGAGUUCUUUUGUUCUUUUAAAAGUGUACAAAGGGAUGAUGAGCUUUUCUACAUGUAUUAUAAUAUAUUGAAAAGAUACAUGUCUGUAUAAAGGAAUGAAGAAUAUAAAUAUGCUACAGUACAAAGCAAGUGGAGUAUAAUAGUAUGAAGCAAGAAUAAAAUUGUGGUAGUGCAAGAUCCAGAAGGGAACCAACCCAUUACCAUUGUCACCAAAACUAAGCUAUUACCACACUCACCGAGACCAAACAACCCAUUAUCACCUUCUAUGAUCUUGCAAUCACAGCACUUUUUUAUCCAUGGAAUAAACAACAAAAAUUAAAAAUCACAACACCACCAAAAUAAAUUAAACCUUCAUUCAUGGAAAAUCAAUGAAUACCAAAGAACCAAAACCGAGUGUCAAAGACAAAGUGCCUGCAAACUUUGGAAAAACUCGAAAAAGUGAAAUACUAGAACACAAAGAAACACCAUUGACAAUUGUAGAAAACGCUACAGAAACUAUGAAAAAAGACAUAACAGAAAAAACAAAACAUCAGUGAGAGAAAAACCGUCAAGAACCAUCUAAAACGAAAUACCAAAAUAGAAAAAAACGCAGCCGUCAGCAAAGAGAACGAAGAAGUGACGUCGCAAGGAAAUCAGAGAGAGUGAGUGUUGUCGCUAAGGAAAACCCAAAAACAAAAAUGAACAGAAGGGAAAAAACCCCACACACCUAAACCAGAAGGAAACAACAGGCACAAACCACCGUCGAUACCCCAAAGGUAGAGGUCGAACCGAGGAGAGCAUCGCACGAACAAACGGUACCAAUGAGAAGGAGUCGAAAACAGAAGGAAAAAGAAAAACAAAAAGCCCUAGGUGGCAACUAUGGGAGAGAAAAAAACAAAAGAAGGAAAAAAGGAAAAUGAGGAGUGAAAAU